rnacentral:rRNA from 1 species
CGGCGAACGGGUGAGUAAUACAUCGGAACGUGUCCAGUAGCGGGGGAUAACCUCUCGAAAGAGAGGCUAAUACCGCAUACGACCUACGGGUGAAAGAGGGGGAUCGCAAGACCUCUCACUAUUGGAGCGGCCGAUGUCGGAUUAGCUAGUUGGUGAGGUAAAGGCUUACCAAGGCGACGAUCCGUAGCUGGUCUGAGAGGACGACCAGCCACACUGGAACUGAGACACGGUCCAGACUCCUACGGGAGGCAGCAGUGGGGAAUUUUGGACAAUGGGGGAAACCCUGAUCCAGCCAUGCCGCGUGGGUGAAGAAGGCCUUCGGGUUGUAAAGCCCUUUCGGUGGGGACGAAACGGUGCGUGCUAACACCACGCACUACUGACGGUACCCACAGAAGAAGCACCGGCUAACUACGUGCCAGCAGCCGCGGUAAUACGUAGGGUGCAGGCGUUAAUCGGAAUUACUGGGCGUAAAGCGUGCGCAGGCGGUUUGCUAAGACAGGUGUGAAAUCCCCGAGCUUAACUUGGGAACUGCGCUUGUAACUGGCAAGCUAGAGUGUGGCAGAGGGGGGUGGAAUUCCACGUGUAGCAGUGAAAUGCGUAGAGAUGUGGAGGAACACCGAUGGCGAAGGCAGCCCCCUGGGCUAACACUGACGCUCAUGCACGAAAGCGUGGGGAGCAAACAGGAUUAGAUACCCUGGUAGUCCACGCCCUAAACUAUGUCAACUGGUUGUCGGGGAAGCAAUUCCUUGGUAACGAAGCUAACGCGUGAAGUUGACCGCCUGGGGAGUACGGCCGCAAGGUUAAAACUCAAGGAAUUGACGGGGACCCGCACAAGCGGUGGAUUAUGUGGAUUAAUUCG